rnacentral:lncRNA from 1 species
AGAGACUCAGCAAGUCAUGGUGGGGUGUUUGGGAAGCAUCUCAAGUAAGUGGCUCUCAUUGCGAUUAUUCUUUACUUUGAUUUGAAUUGGUUCUGAAUGUAAAAUUAUGUUAUUGUAUUGUGCUCUUUAGUAUUGGUAUCUUAACUAACUUAGCACAUUUACUAUUAUAUAUGCAUGUAUAAUUCACCUUAACCUUGCAAGUGUGGACCUUCAACACAUUUUCAUAGAUCUGUACAUGCUUUCACGUGUGAAAACUAGCCUAACCAUGGCCGUGAUGGUUAAUGGUGUGCAUGUUUAUGGGACUUCAGCAUAAACAUAAAAUGAUUGCUUAUCAGAAUUCAGUAUUUUACAAGUGCUAUUUCAAAUUAAAGUAUUUCUAACUAUCAAACUAAAAUUUCAAACGCAUUCCUUUUUUAUGUAAAUAUUAAAAAGUACUUUCAUUUCCAUCCCCUUUUUCUUCGUGUAGAGUUUUUCGAAUGUUAAACUCAUACAUUAAAGAAUGUGUGAUAAAGUAUUUCGAAAAUUAAGAUAUAUUUAGUAAAUUUUGUUAUGUGAAUUUGUAGAACAAUCUUGAUCCUACUUUAGCCAAGUGUAUUUUUAGGUGGAUCUACAGUAGAUAUGAGUCCCAUGUUUUUCUGAAUUUCUGAUUUAAACAUCGACCAUAUUUUCUCCCUAUAUUUCUUUUGAUAAAAAACGUGAAGUUUUGUUAGCUACAAAUAGCACCAAGAAAUUGAUAGGCACAUCAUAAUACAACUGCUUCUAACAUUAGGUUUUGCCAUAGAUUUUCGCCAUAGAUUUUACCAAAAUAAAUUUUGGGUUUUAUUCGGCAAACACAUGUUUGGACAUAGAUUUUGCCUACAUUUUGGCAAAAUUCCAAUUCCCAAAUCCCAAAACCAGCUCAAUAGCUGGUUUUGGACCAAAAUAUCACUAUUACAUUUUUUUAAAAAUGCCCCAAACUUUUGUAUUUUAUAAAAGAGCACACCAUUUAUUAUUUUGUAAUAAUGUUGUUUCGUCUUCUCGAUCAUCUGAUAGUGUAUCAUGUAGUUCAUUAUAAAAUGAUAAUUAUGUACCAGAUUUAUUUAUGUUCAAGAUUAUAGUUUACGAUAAUAUAAUGAAUAUUAUUGAUAAUAGUACUGUUGGAUAUUUGUGAUAGGUUUUAGAACUUGUGGGUAUAAGUCAUGUUUCAUAUUUUUUCCAAAAUAAAUUUGGAAUUAUGUUUUGAAAACUGAUGUCCAAACAUAUUUUCAUCUUCAAACCAAACUUCACCCAAAUCAGAUUUUUCAAAACAAAUUUGGGAAUCUAUGGCCAAACGCUAGCGAAGUACUCAAUUCAUGAGGUUUUCUAAAUUUGCUCAUGAGAUCUCUAUCAUCUCAUCCCCUUCAUAAACAUUUUUUAGGGGUUAUGUCCUCCUUCAUUGUAGUCUGCCAUUGUUUUCAGUUGUAUCUGUAUCUUAACAAGGAUUUGUUUGAUAUUUAAAUAGGGUUUACAUUUCUUUAUUUUGAUGAAGUAGCUUAGAGACUCAUCACUGAUUAAACUGGAAUAUAUUAGUUAAACCUUACAAAUAUUGCACCAGUGUCACUCUAUUAUGCUUUCAUUUAGUAAUAAAAUCGUUGUAAAUUUUUCAAGAAUUUCUUAAUCUUUGCAGGCCUGGAUAGAUAAUAUAUUCUUCGUUCUUGGCCCCCUUGAAGGAUGUAAGAUUAGUAGUGGCAUUGUGCAAUGUGAAGCUUUUAGUUACAAUCAGUAUAUCUGGGGAAUGAGUGAAUAUUUUGUUUUCUGUGUUGAGUGCACUUUUUGUGGUUCUCGUGCCUGCAUUUAGCAGGGGAAAAUUUCUAUUUUGAUGCGUUAAAAAUUGUAAUCAUGCUGCUUCAACUCUACCAGAAUUAAUUUGUUGUUUAUACUCUUUUAUAUAUGUUGUGAGGAUUGAAACGAUGCGAUAAAAGAAAAUUCAGAAUAGUUUGUAGUA